rnacentral:rRNA from 1 species
ACGUUAGCGGCGGACGGGUGAGUAACACGUGGGUAACCUACCUAUAAGACUGGGAUAACUUCGGGAAACCGGAGCUAAUACCGGAUAAUAUUUCGAACCGCAUGGUUCGAUAGUGAAAGAUGGUUUUGCUAUCACUUAUAGAUGGACCCGCGCCGUAUUAGCUAGUUGGUAAGGUAACGGCUUACCAAGGCGACGAUACGUAGCCGACCUGAGAGGGUGAUCGGCUACACUGGAACUGAGACACGGUCCAGACUCCUACGGGAGGCAGCAGCU